rnacentral:rRNA from 1 species
UAGAGGCCUACCAUGGUUUUAACGGGUAACGGGGAAUUAGGGUUCGAUUCCGGAGAGGGAGCCUGAGAAACGGCUACCACAUCCAAGGAAGGCAGCAGGCGCGCAAAUUACCCAAUCCCGACACGGGGAGGUAGUGACAAUAAAUAACAAUACGGGGCUCAUUUGGGUCUCGUAAUUGGAAUGAGUACAAUUUAAAUCUCUUAACGAGGAACAAUUGGAGGGCAAGUCUGGUGCCAGCAGCCGCGGUAAUUCCAGCUCCAAUAGCGUAUAUUAAAGUUGUUGCAGUUAAAAAGCUCGUAGUUGAACUUCGGGGUUUACCCAUUGGUCAGGCUUAAUUGUCUGUACUGGUGAGAUAAAUCUCUACCUUCUGAGGAACUUUCAUGUCAUUAAUUUGGUGUGAUUGGAAAUCAGGACUGUUACUUUGAAAAAAUUAGAGUGUUUAAAGCAGGCUAACGUCUGAAUACAUUAGCAUGGAAUAAUGAAAUAGGACGGAUUGAUUCUAUUUCGUUGGUUUCUAGGAUCACCGUAAUGAUUAAUAGGGAUAGUUGGGGGCAUUAGUAUUCAAUUGUCAGAGGUGAAAUUCUUGGAUUUAUUGAAGACUAACUACUGCGAAAGCAUUUGCCAAGGAUGUUUUCAUUAAUCAAGAACGAAAGUUAGGGGAUCGAAGACGAUCAGAUACCGUCGUAGUCUUAACCAUAAACUAUGCCGACUAGGGAUCGGACGAAGUA